GAUGAACGCUGGCGGCGUGCUUAAUACAUGCAAGUCGAGCGAACAGACGCGGCGCUUGCUCCUCUGUCGUUAGCGGCGCACGGGUGAGUAACACGUGGAUCACCUACCUAUAAGUCUGGGAUAACUUCGGGACACCGGAGAUAAUACCGUAUGAUAUAUUGAACCGCAUUGUUCAAUAGUGAAAUACGGUGUUUCUGUCUCUUAUAGAUGGAUCUGAGCCGCAUUAGCUAGUUGGUAAGGUAACGGCUUUUCAAGGCAACGAUGCGUAGCAGACCUGCGAGGGUGAUCGGCCACACUGGAGGUGAAACACGGUCCAGACUACUACGGGAGGCAGCAGUAGGGAAUCUUCCGCAAUGGGCGAAAGCCUGGCGGAGCAACGCCGCGUGAGUGAUGAAGGUCUUCGGAUCGUAAAACUCUGUUAUUAGGGAAGAACAAAUGUGUAAGUAACUAUGCACGUCUUGACGGUACCUAAUCAGAAAGCCACGGCUAACUACGUG
rnacentral:rRNA from 1 species